UAAACUAAAGCAUAAACUAUGCAGCUCAUUUACACUGAGAUGAUUAACUUUUAAUAGUUUAGUUUAA
rnacentral:tRNA from 1 species